rnacentral:lncRNA from 1 species
GAACUUGGCUGCUGGUGACGUGCUAAAUUCAGGAGCCUAAGCCCCGUUAUGCUCCUAUGGCGAGCACAAGGGAUUUUCCUUCCAUCUGAUUUCUUCAAGCAACCCGUCCAUGAACUGAGAUUCGAGAGCUAAAAGGCAUGCUCAGCUGUCAGCUUUUAGCCUGGCUCCGUGCACAUGUUGCUCCAACUCUCAAUUAUUUGCUAAUCUAGAAGACCUACGAAGGAGGUGGAUCUGACCUUUGAAAAUAAUCCUCUUAAACGGGACUGUGAAGACGGGAUGUGAACUCGACUUCCUUGACCCGACUUCAUCAGCGAACGCUGAUUCAUUGAAAUUGAAGCGUUUUGCUGAAAAUAGAGCAGUUUCGAUGGAAAUUUCCCUGAUUCCCAGGCAGGAGCCUGGGGGAACUGGCUGCUUUUAGAGCAGCUCUGCUCUCCCUCACUCCAAGACACCCACACCUUGCAGAAAACCCACAGACAAAAGAGGAAGGAAGAAGUAGAGCCAGCUUGCUCCCAGCCAGCCUAGGGAACGUGUUGUGAAAAAAGUUGUGUCUGUUGGCACUCAAAUGCAAGCAGGCUGCAGUUUAGCUGCCAUCAUCUCUACCUGUACUAACACACAUUUCACUAGAGGAUGCUCCUUUUCAGCAGGUUGUGUGCUGGAAGUUCUGGGUUACGAGCUUCACGGAAGAAAUGAGCGGGUCUGCAACCAUUACCGAACGUGCUUACGUGCUUCCUUAUGGGUGACAUCAAUUCCUUGCUGCGCUGGAGUUAAAUAGGUGCUGGCUAAUGAGUUAUUGAUCAUUUGAUGGAAAGUGAGGGGUUGAAGAGACUGACAUCGUGGAAGGAUAACCCUCUGCCUGCUGAAUUCACAUAGCCAUCACUCACGGGGUUAUCAAAGUCAGAUAUCAAAAAAAACCCUUCCUGGGUCAUUUAAUCUGCCUGCCCAUAUAUAAAUAUGGCUGGUCCAGGAAAAGGAUAAAAAAAAGUUUGUAAAGUUGAAAUGUUCCAUGUGAAUACGUAUGUUUGGAGGAAGAAAUAAAUAAAUAGGCAAAAGUGAAACGAAAUGGUUA